AGGCUGCAACUCGCCUGCAUGAAGUCGGAAUUGCUAGUAAUCGUAGGUCAGCAUACUACGGUGAAUACGUUCCCGGGCCUUGUACACACCGCCCGUCAAACCAUGAGAGUUGGCAACACCCGAAGUCGGUAGUCUAACCGCAAGGAGGACGCCGCCGAAGGUGGGGGUUGAUGAUUAGGGUUAAGUCGUAACAAGGUAUC
rnacentral:rRNA from 1 species